rnacentral:rRNA from 1 species
GACGAACGCUGGCGGCGCGCUUAAUACAUGCAAGUCGAGCGAGAACCAGGGCUUCGGCUCUGGGGACAGCGGCGAACGGGUGAGUAUCACGUGAGUAAUCUGCCCUCGGCACCGGGAUAGCCCGGGGAAACCCGGAUUAAUACCGGAUGGCCUCUCGAGCCCUCGGGCUCGUGAGAAAAGGUAGCUUCGGCCUCCGGCCGGGGAGGAGCUCGCGGCGGAUUAGCUUGUUGGUGGGGUAACGGCUCACCAAGGCGAGGAUCCGUAGCUGGGCUGAGAGGACGAUCAGCCACAAUGGGACUGGGACACGGCCCAGACUCCUACGGGAGGCAGCAGUAGGGAAUCUUGCGCAAUGGGCGAAAGCCUGACGCAGCGACGCCGCGUGCGGGAAGAAGGCCUUCGGGUUGUAAACCGCUUUCAGGAGGGACGAAGCCACUCGGGUUAAUAGCCCAGAGGGUGACGGUACCUCCAGAAGAAGCCCCGGCUAACUACGUGCCAGCCGCCGCCGUAAUAC